UACGAGUGCCCCGAGCGUUAUCCGGAAUCAUUGGGCGUAAAGGGUGUGUAGGUGGCAGUGUUAGUCGAUUGUUAAAACCUGGGGCUCAACCCCAGAUCCGCGAUCGAAACGGCACAGCUAGAGGAUGGCAGGGAUGUAUGGAACUCAUGGAGUAGGGGUGAAAUCCGUUGAUAUCAUGGGGAACACCAAAAGCGAAAGCAGUACAUUGGGCCACUCCUGACACUGAAACACGAAAGCGUGGGUAGCGAAUGGG
rnacentral:rRNA from 1 species